GGGACUCCCGGAGCCCCUCGCUAAGGAGAGAUGCCUCCCCAGUGGCAGGUGCUUCCAGAAACAGGCUGCUGUGGAUGGGGGAGAGCAGGGGUCCCCUCACCUGUCCAGCUCCUGCCAGUUGAGUGAUGACCUCUGCACAGUCACAGGUGGUGGUAUGUCCUCGCUAGGUAGUGGGCCAAGCCUCUCUGGGACACAGGGCUCCCUAAGCACGCAGCAGAUGUCAUCCGCUAGCUCUAAGGAAGAGAAGGGACCCAAAUCCUUGAUGUGGCACCUGCCCUGGCUGCUUUCCAUACUUGUGCCUGAUCCGGUCCCACGAUGCAGGGCGGCUGAGUCGGACAGACAGGGAGUAACAGCCUGAGGAGGAAAGGGUCUUUCUUGGGAGCCUUAAUUGAGAUGAAUGUUUUGCCAAGAGAUCAGAUCAUGCCAUGACUUGUGAAGGAAGGCAUCACUGCUGGUCAAAGUAAAUCCCAUUUGCCAAAGUGUUGGCUAAGCCUGGAUCCCUAUGAGUGAAUGCUGGGACAUUCAGUCUCACUUUGCCCUGUUAAAGGACUCUCAUGGAAACAACGUGGCCCAACUCCAAGGCUAGAUCCCCACACCACGAAGCCUCCCAGUUGUUCCAGGUAAACUGUCUUUCCUCUGCCCUCUUAGCCUGGCUUCACCUCAGGGCCCCUUACAGGCAAGACCUGCCUGGACUCAGAAAAUGGAUGACUGUGAGGAACCACUCUCCUCUAAUAGGCUUCUGUCCUGAAGUCCCUCUGGGUGAGGACAGGGGCACCUACCUCUCCUG